CGGCUCUGUGCUGAAGGUGUGCGCCUGUGGAGCUGACAAAACUUUCGCUCUAGCAGGCGAUAAACAACGAUGGUAUUCGUUUAUUAUGUGAACGCGUUUGGGCCUGGACUGCUGAAAAUCUACAGGUCUAAGAAAGAAGCUUUUGGUCAGGAGAUGGAGGAGCUCCUUGAUCAACAUGAUUACCAGACAUCCGACAUUGUGUCCCACUGGAAACAGCAGCACUGAGAGGCCUGCCUAUCGACCUCCGCGAAGAUGCAACCAAGUUUUUCCUGAAGUGCUCAGACACCACAUGUGUCUGUUGCCAUCCUCACUGUGCUACAUGAUGAUAAAGCCGACAACACUGCGAGACCAGGGGUUUGUGUUGGAAGAGGACACUGUGCUUCAUCAUAUUCCAAACAUGGGGAAAAUAAUCAUAAUUGACAUGUUCAGUGAGCCUAGUAUUGGUUUCAAAUACUCAGGAAGAUUCACCCCAAAUGUUAUUAGACUAUACAGUAUGCAUGUUGUUUUUUACACAUGUUGUAUGUAUGAUGUGUGUUAU